GCCCCUGUGGCGGAAUUGGUAGACGCGGCAGACUCAAAAUCUGUUGCUGGCAACAGCGUGCUGGUUCGAGUCCGGCCAGGGGCACCA
rnacentral:tRNA from 1 species